AGUGAACGCUGGCGGUAGGCCUAACACAUGCAAGUCGAACGGCAGCACAGUAAGAGCUUGCUCUUACGGGUGGCGAGUGGCGGACGGGUGAGGAAUACAUCGGAAUCUACUUUUUCGUGGGGGAUAACGUAGGGAAACUUACGCUAAUACCGCAUACGACCUACGGGUGAAAGCAGGGGAUCUUCGGACCUUGCGCGAUUGAAUGAGCCGAUGUCGGAUUAGCUAGUUGGCGGGGUAAAGGCCCACCAAGGCGGCGAUCCGUAGCUGGUCUGAGAGGAUGAUGAGCCACACUGGAACUGAGACACGGUCCAGACUCCUACGGGAGGCAGCAGUGGGGAAUAUUGGACAAUGGGCGCAAGACUGAUCCAGCCAUACCGCGUGGGUGAAGAAGGCCUUCGGGUUGUAAAGCCCUUUUGUUGGGAAAGAAAAGCAGCAGGUUAAUACCCCGCUGUUCUGACGGUACCCAAAGAAUAAGCACCGGCUAACUUCGUG
rnacentral:rRNA from 1 species